rnacentral:antisense_RNA from 1 species
AAAAACAAAUGUCAUUUCUAUCGGUUAAAAUUCGGUUAAAAUGUCAACUUUUCACUUAUUCAAACCAUAAGAAAUGGCUUUCUUAUGGGAAAAAUGGUGAUCCCGAAUGGACUUGAACCAUCGACCCCUACCA